GCGAGUCGUAGGAAACGGAGAUAACCAUUUUCAGGCUCCUUAUGAACAAAGUGAAGCGAUUUUUACUACUUUCUUGGACACAAGGAGAACCACAAUCCUUUUACACAUACGCAUAAACACAUACAGUAUAAGUUUGGUCUUCCUGUGAUGCUCUUCUCUGUCCCCCAUCCUCCCCCUCUGAUGUAAAACCUCUGGAGGUAAGGGCCUUGCCUUGUGUGUAAGUGUGAAACGCGUGUGUGCUGGCACCAUCUUCCUCCGCCAGCAACAGCGGACGCGCCGUCUCCCCAGCUUCCGUUUCCCUCUGCAUGCCUGCUGCUGGAGUAUUCACGCUUCAGGCUGUUUUCUUUGAGAGAGAGGCAGAGGAAGACUGAGUAUAAAAAUAUGCAAAUGCUAUUGUUGAAGCGCAGAGCGAGGGAGGGAUGGAGGGAGGGGAGGUGUGCUUCUCUUGCACCUUCUCACCUCCCCCUGCCACUGCCACAGACAUGGGGUUGCACCUCCAUACCCAUCCAUCCAGUUUGCACAGAGUUAGAGCACAAUUACACCCAGAUGUAGAAAGAGGGAACUCAAGGGGACAACAGGACUCAGACAUUAAAAUAUACUGAAGAAAACAGCAUUGUGUGUUUCAACUGGAGCCUCUUUAGGUUGUAGACCCAGAUUUAAAAAGACAGAUUCACUGACACACACAGAGAGAA